AUUGAACGCUGGCGGCAGGCCUAACACAUGCAAGUCGAGCGGUAGCACAGAGAGCUUGCUCUCGGGUGACGAGCGGCGGACGGGUGAGUAAUGUCUGGGAAACUGCCUGAUGGAGGGGGAUAACUACUGGAAACGGUAGCUAAUACCGCAUAACGUCGCAAGACCAAAGUGGGGGACCUUCGGGCCUCAUGCCAUCAGAUGUGCCCAGAUGGGAUUAGCUAGUAGGUGGGGUAACGGCUCACCUAGGCGACGAUCCCUAGCUGGUCUGAGAGGAUGACCAGCCACACUGGAACUGAGACACGGUCCAGACUCCUACGGGAGGCAGCAGUGGGGAAUAUUGCACAAUGGGCGCAAGCCUGAUGCAGCCAUGCCGCGUGUGUGAAGGAGGCCUUCGGGUUGUAAAGCACUUUCAGCGGGGAGGAAGGCGUUAAGGUUAAUAACCUUGGCGAUUGACGUUACCCGCAGAAGAAGCACCGGCUAACUCCGUGCCAGCAGCCGCGGUAAUACGGAGGGUGCAAGCGUUAAUCGGAAUUACUGGGCGUAAAGCGCACGCAGGCGGUCUGUCAAGUCGGAUGUGAAAUCCCCGGGCUCAACCUGGGAACUGCAUUCGAAACUGGCAGGCUAGAGUCUUGUAGAGGGGGGUAGAAUUCCAGGUGUAGCGGUGAAAUGCGUAGAGAUCUGGAGGAAUACCGGUGGCGAAGGCGGCCCCCUGGACAAAGACUGACGCUCAGGUGCGAAAGCGUGGGGAGCAAACAGGAUUAGAUACCCUGGUAGUCCACGCCGUAAACGAUGUCGAUUUGGAGGUUGUGCCCUUGAGGCGUGGCUUCCGGAGCUAACGCGUUAAAUCGACCGCCUGGGGAGUACGGCCGCAAGGUUAAAACUCAAAUGAAUUGACGGGGGCCCGCACAAGCGGUGGAGCAUGUGGUUUAAUUCGAUGCAACGCGAAGAACCUUACCUGGUCUUGACAUCCACAGAACUUAGCAGAGAUGCUUUGGUGCCUUCGGGAACUGUGAGACAGGUGCUGCAUGGCUGUCGUCAGCUCGUGUUGUGAAAUGUUGGGUUAAGUCCCGCAACGAGCGCAACCCUUAUCCUUUGUUGCCAGCGGUCCGGCCGGGAACUCAAAGGAGACUGCCAGUGAUAAACUGGAGGAAGGUGGGGAUGACGUCAAGUCAUCAUGGCCCUUACGACCAGGGCUACACACGUGCUACAAUGGCAUAUACAAAGAGAAGCGACCUCGCGAGAGCAAGCGGACCUCAUAAAGUAUGUCGUAGUCCGGAUUGGAGUCUGCAACUCGACUCCAUGAAGUCGGAAUCGCUAGUAAUCGUAGAUCAGAAUGCUACGGUGAAUACGUUCCCGGGCCU
rnacentral:rRNA from 1 species